CCCGCCGUUCCGUCGGCGGUAGCCUACCGAUGCAUGCGUGGCUGGUAACGGCCGGGUGUGAAGCCAUCGGAACAACGUAACCCGUUAUCACCGCCGGCCUCUUCGCUGCCUGGAUGC
rfam:Burkholderia udeis isolate LMG 27134 genome assembly, contig: contig000041